rnacentral:rRNA from 2 species
UGGAAGACUGAUAGACUGAGUGGCGGACGGGUGAGUAACGCGUGGGCAACCUGCCCCAUACCGGGGGAUAGCAGUUGGAAACGACUGGUAAAACCGCAUAAGCGCACAGUAAGGCAUCUUACAGUGUGAAAAACUCCGGUGGUAUGGGAUGGGCCCGCGUCUGAUUAGCCAGUUGGUGAGGUAACGGCUCACCAAAGCGACGAUCAGUAGCCGGCCUGAGAGGGCGGACGGCCACAUUGGGACUGAGACACGGCCCAGACUCCUACGGGAGGCAGCAG